rnacentral:misc_RNA from 1 species
UCGAAGGGCUUCGGCCCUAUCGUGAUAGAACCCUUGCCUUUUGAGUACCUUCUGUUUCCUCGGUAGGCUCGCCUGCCAAUGGGGACCCUACAAAACCUUUGCAGCAACCGUCUACUUGUCUGAUAGAAAAUCAAAUAAUCA